rnacentral:rRNA from 1 species
AUUGAACGCUGGCGGCAGGCCUAAAACAUGCAAGUCGAGCGAGCGGCGGACGGGUGAGUAAUGUCUGGGAAACUGCCUGAUGGAGGGGGAUAACUACUGGAAACGGUAGCUAAUACCGCAUACCAUCAGAUGUGCCCAGAGGGGAUUAGCUAGUAGGUGGGGUAAUGGCUCACCUAGGCGACGAUCCCUAACUUGUCUGAGAGGAGGACCAGCCACACGGGAACUGAGACACGGUCCAGACUCCUACGGUAGGCAGCAGUGGGGAAUAUUGCACAAUGGGCGCAAGCCUGAUGCAGCCAUGCCGCGUGUGUGAAGAAGGCCUUCGGGUUGUAAAGCACUUUCAUCGGGGAGGCGUUACCCGCAUAAGAAGCACCGGCUAACUCCGUGCCAGCAGCCGCGGUAAUAC